GACGUAGGGCGCGAGCGUUGUCCGGAUUUAUUGGGCGUAAAGAGCUCGUAGGCGGUUCGUACAGUCAGACGUGAAAUUCCUGGGCUCAACCUGGGGGCUGCGUUUGAUACGUGCGGACUUGAGUGCGGAAGAGGGUCGUGGAAUUCCCAGUGUAGAGGUGAAAUUCGUAGAUAUUGGGAAGAACACCGGUGGCGAAGGCGGCGACCUGGUCCGAUACUGACGCUGAGGCGCGAAAGCGUGGGGAGCAAACAGG
rnacentral:rRNA from 1 species